UUGCCGCAGGCAACGACCCGAAGGGCGAAGCGCGCAGCGCUGAGUCAUCCUUCCCCCACCACCA
rnacentral:sRNA from 16 species